GACGAACGCUGGCGGCAUGCCUAACACAUGCAAGUCGAACGGAGAUUAUUUCGGUAAUCUUAGUGGCGAACGGGUGAGUAACGCGUGGGCAACCUGCCCUCUAGAUGGGGACAACAUCCCGAAAGGGGUGCUAAUACCGAAUGUGACAGCAAUCUCGCAUGAGGAUGCUGUGAAAGAUGGCCUCUAUUUAUAAGCUAUCGCUAGAGGAUGGGCCUGCGUCUGAUUAGCUAGUUGGUGGGGUAACGGCCUACCAAGGCGAUGAUCCGUAGCCGGUCUGAGAGGAUGAACGGCCACAUUGGGACUGAGACACGGCCCAGACUCCUACGGGAGGGAGCAGUGGGGAAUCUUCCGGAAUGGGCGGAAGCCUGACGGAGCAAUGCCGCGUGAGUGAUGAAGGAAUUCGUUCCGUGAAGCUCUUUUGUUUAUGACGAAUGUGCAGAUUGUGAACAAUGAUCUGUAAUGACGGUAGUAAACGAAUAAGCCACGGCUAACUACGUG
rnacentral:rRNA from 1 species